rnacentral:rRNA from 1 species
UACAGAGGUCCCGAGCGUUGUUCGGAUUUAUUGGGCGUAAAGGGUGCGUAGGUGGCAAAGUAAGUUGGAUGUGAAUCCUGGGGCUUAACCUCAGAAUUGCAUUCAAUACUGCUUAGCUAGAGAGCUGUAGAGGAGACUGGAAUUUACGGUGUAGCAGUGAAAUGCGUAGAUAUCGUAAGGAACGCCAGUGGCGAAAGCGAGUCUCUGGGCAGCAUCUGACACUGAGGCACGAAGGCCAGGGGAGCAAACGGG